rnacentral:rRNA from 1 species
UACGUAGGGUGCGAGCGUUAAUCGGAAUUACUGGGCGUAAAGUGUGCGCAGGCGGCCGCGCAAGUCGAGUGUGAAAGCCCCGAGCUUAACUUGGGAAUUGCGCUCGAAACUACGUGGCUGGAGUGUGGCAGAGGAAGGUGGAAUUCCCGGUGUAGUGGUGAAAUGCGUAGAGAUCGGGAGGAACACCAGUGGCGAAGGCGGCCGGCUGGGGGUGACCUGACGCUGAGGCGCGAAAGCGUGGGGAGCGAACCGG